AGAGUUUGAUCAUGGCUCAGAACGAACGCUGGCGGCAUGCUUAACACAUGCAAGUCGAACGGAAUGCUUCGGCAUUCAGUGGCGCACGGGUGAGUAACACGUGGGAACCUGCCCUGGGAUGGGGAAUAACCACUGGAAACGGUGGCUAAUACCGCAUACGCCCUACGGGGGAAAGGCUUCGGCCGUCCGAGGAGGGGCCCGCGCCCGAUUAGCUUGUUGGUGGGGUAAUGGCCUACCAAGGCUACGAUCGGUAGCUGGUCUGAGAGGAUGAUCAGCCACACUGGGACUGAGAUACGGCCCAGACUCCUACGGGAGGCAGCAGUGGGGAAUAUUGGACAAUGGGCGAAAGCCUGAUCCAGCAAUGCCGCGUGAGUGAUGAAGGCCUUAGGGUUGUAAAGCUCUUUCGCCUGCGACGAUGAUGACGGUAGCAGGAGAAGAAGCCCCGGCUAAUUCCGUGCCAGCAGCCGCGGUAAUACGGAAGGGGCUAGCGUUGUUCGGAAUUACUGGGCGUAAAGCGCGCGUAGGCGGCCAUUCAAGUUAGGUGUGAAAGCCCUGGGCUCAACCUGGGAACUGCACUUAAGACUGGAAGGCUAGGGUCCGAGAGAGGGUGGUGGAAUUCCCAGUGUAGAGGUGAAAUUCGUAGAUAUUGGGAGGAACACCGGUGGCGAAAGCGCCACCUGGCUCGGUACCGACGCUCAAGUGCGAAAGCGUGGGGAGCAAACAGGAUUAGAUACCCUAGUAGUCC
rnacentral:rRNA from 1 species